UACAGAGGUGGCAAGCGUUGUUCGGAAUUACUGGGCGUAAAGGGCGCGUAGGCGGCCUACUAAGUCAGACGUGAAAUCCCCCGGCUUAACCUGGGAACUGCGUCUGAUACUGGAAGGCUUGAGGAUGGGAGAGGGAUGUAGAAUUCCAGGUGUAGCGGUGAAAUGCGUAGAUAUCUGGAGGAAUACCGGUGGCGAAGGCGGCAUCCUGGACCAUUACUGACGCUGAGCGCGAAAGCUAGGGGAGCAA
rnacentral:rRNA from 1 species